UCCCCUUGACCUACUGAACUAGUUACUUCACCCAACUUUUCUUCAUGUUGAAACCCAAGACUGACAGAUGCUUCAGAGUCACUGGAAGCCAUCAGGGGAGCAUUAUGACAUUUCCAGGCAGCAGCAGCAAGUCAGCACUCUUGGGAAUUUCCCAGACCACCUGAUGACAGCAGCUAUCAUGCAUGCGGCCACUAGGAAGAUAUGGCUUCACAGAAGAGUUGCACAAGGGUCUGGCUGUGGAUAUUGGACAUUUUCCCAGCAACUCAUGAGUGAGGUCAUUAUCAUGCAGUUUCAUCAUUUUUGUUUGAAGGGAAUUCCCAGAACACCAACCGCUUUUAGAUUCUUAAUAUUAUACAGAAGUGCAUUCCAAAAUCAAAACACAGUCACAGUGAUUUGGGACUUUUCACCCCUCUGCUUCUUGCUAUU